GUGCUCGCUUCGGCAGCACAUACACUAAAACUGGAACGAUACGGAGAUUAGCACAACCCCUGCGCAAGGGUGCCAUGCAAAUUGGAGAAGCGGUCCGUAUUAAA